UACAGCGGGGGCAAGCGUUGUUCGGAAUUACUGGGCGUAAAGGGCGCGUAGGCGGCCUUCUAAGUCGAACGUGAAAUCCCCGGGCUCAACCCGGGAACUGCGUCCGAUACUGGAAGGCUUGAAUCCGGGAGAGGGAUGUGGAAUUCCAGGUGUAGCGGUGAAAUGCGUAGAUAUCUGGAGGAACACCGGUGGCGAAGGCGACAUCCUGGACCGGUAUUGACGCUGAGGCGCGAAAGCCAGGGGAGCAAACGGG
rnacentral:rRNA from 1 species